rnacentral:lncRNA from 1 species
CUACUGGACGCUCUGUUGCAAAAUAAAGAACAGACUAAUAUUUUGGAAUGGGGAGUAGUUUAUUUGAAGUUGAAUUUCAUGAUGUUGAUCAGCUUGACCGUCUGGUCGGUUUGGGGCACCAGAUGAGCUCAGAAAAUUGUGAAACUUCUUGCGAAGCCUUUUUGAUGUAUGUUGGAGAGAUAUUUGCACUACACCUUGCUCUCAGAAAUUUUCCAAUAUAUAUACAUUUUUCACUAGAGCGUCUCCUAUUUUAUCACAAACACAAAUUUCAAGACAUAUAUAUCACUACUGCACACAUCAUUAAAGUUUGUUUAGCCAAACAAUUCUUAACCACAAAUCUAUUGCAACAAAUCCUGACUAUGUGUUAUGUAUAUACAAUAUAACUGAAGUAGAAAACACGUAUAUUACUAUGUACAAACAUGAGCAGUCUACAGUAGCUAUCAGUACUUAACCAAAGUUUAUCUUGUGAGCACUGGAGAAAUGCUUAGUCCCCCUGACCAUCUCGCCGGCGGCAUCAUACCCGGCGGCGCGGCCACCGGAGCCGCCACGGAUCGCCGCCCUCAUCUUCGAGCGCAGUCUCAACCGCGAGAACCAAGACGCCACCACGGCCGACCAGAAGCCGUCCCGGGAUCUCUUCUUCUUGCCUCCCAUGACGUACGGAUCUGAUUAUACCAGAGAAAUCAACUCAACGAAAAGCUAGCUAUCUAUCUAUCUAUCUAUCUAUCUCAAGUAUGUAUGUGUUAAUUAGUAACUUUGAUGAUCAAGGAGGCUGCAGAUGGAGGCUUUUUAUAGCGUGGGAGAAUGCUUAUUAAGCUUUGCUUGCUUGGCAGCCAAGGCGCAAACUGAUGAGAGGA